rnacentral:rRNA from 1 species
CACACUAUCAUUAACUGAAUCCAUAGGUUAAUGAGGCGAACCGGGGGAACUGAAACAUCUAAGUACCCCGAGGAAAAGAAAUCAACCGAGAUUCCCCCAGUAGCGGCGAGCGAACGGGGAGCAGCCCAGAGCCUGAAUCAGUGUGUGUGUUAGUGGAAGCGUCUGGAAAGGCGCGCGAUACAGGGUGACAGCCCCGUACACAAAAAUGCACAUAUUGUGAGCUCGAUGAGUAGGGCGGGACACGUGGUAUCCUGUCUGAAUAUGGGGGGACCAUCCUCCAAGGCUAAAUACUCCUGACUGACCGAUAGUGAACCAGUACCGUGAGGGAAAGGCGAAAAGAACCCCGGCGAGGGGAGUGAAAAAGAACCUGAAACCGUGUACGUACAAGCAGUGGGAGCCUCUUUUAUGGGGUGACUGCGUACCUUUUGUAUAAUGGGUCAGCGACUUAUAUUCUGUAGCAAGGUUAACCGAAUAGGGGAGCCGAAGGGAAACCGAGUCUUAACUGGGCGUUAAGUUGCAGGGUAUAGACCCGAAACCCGGUGAUCUAGCCAUGGGCAGGUUGAAGGUUGGGUAA